rnacentral:rRNA from 1 species
UCCAUGCUUCCAAGAAAAGCAUCUAGAGAGAGAAGUAGUGCCCGUACCGCAAACCGACACAGGUAGAUGAGGAGAGAAUCCUAAGGCCGGCGGAAGAAUUGCAGUUAAGGAACUAGGCAAAUUGACCCCGUAAGUUCGCGAGAAGGGGUGCCUGUGAGAGCAGGCCGCAGAGAAUAGGCCCAAGCAACUGUUUAGCAAAAACACAGGUCUCUGCUAAAGCGUAAGCUGAUGUAUAGGGGCUGACGCCUGCCCGGUGCUGGAAGGUUAAGGGGAACACUUAGCGCAAGCGAAGGUGUGAACUUAAGCCCCAGUAAACGGCGGCCGUAACAAUAACGGUCCUAAGGUAGCGAAAUUCCUUGCCAGGUAAGUUCUGACCCGCACGAAUGGCGUAAUGACUUGGGCACUGUCUCAACUGCAAAUCCGGCGAAGUUGUAGUGCGAGUGAAGAUGCUCGCUACCCGCGAUUGGACGGAAAGACCCCGUAGAGCUUUACUGUAGCUUAGCAUUGAAUUCCGGUAUUGUCUGUACAGGAUAGGUGGGAGACUGGGAAACUAGGGCGUCAGCCUUAGUGGAGUCAACCUUGGGAUACCACCCUGACAGUACUGGGGUUCUAACAGGACGCCAUGAAACUGGUGACUGGACAUUGUUAGGUGGGCAGUUUGACUGGGGCGGUCGCCUCCUAAAAAGUAACGGAGGCGCCCAAAGGUUCCCUCAGAACGGUCGGAAAUCGUUCGUAGAGUGCAAAGGCAGAAGGGAGCCUGACUGCGAGACCCACAAGUCGAGCAGGGACGAAAGUCGGGCUUAGUGAUCCGGUGGUACCUCGUGGGAGGGCCAUCGCUCAACGGAUAAAAGCUACCUCGGGGAUAACAGGCUGAUCUCCCCCAAGAGUCCACAUCGACGGGGAGGUUUGGCACCUCGAUGUCGGCUCGUCGCAUCCUGGGGCUGUAGUAGGUCCCAAGGGUUGGGCUGUUCGCCCAUUAAAGCGGCACGCGAGCUGGGUUCAGAACGUCGUGAGACAGUUCGGUCCCUAUCCGUCGCGGGCGUAGGAAAUUUGAGAGGAGCUGUCCUUAGUACGAGAGGACCGGGAUGGACUGACCUCUGGUGCACCAGUUGUUCUGCCAAGAGCAUAGCUGGGUAGCUAAGUCGGGAAGGGAUAAACGCUGAAAGCAUCUAAGCGUGAAGCCCCCCUCAAGAUGAGAUUUCCCAUAGCAUAAGCUAGUAAGACCCCUUGAAGAACACAAGGUUGAUAGGUCAGAGGUGGAAGUGCGGUAACGUAUGUAGCUGACUGAUACUAAUAGGUCGAGGGCUUGACC